rnacentral:rRNA from 1 species
CAAGAGCGUAUGUAAAAGUUGUUGCAGUUAAAAAGCUCGUAGUUGAACCUUGGGUUUGGUUGGCCGGUCCGCUUUUUUGCGAGUACUGGAUUCAACCGAGCCUUUCCUUCUGGCUAACCAGUCGUUUCGGCGGCUGGAGAACCAGGAUUUUUACUUUGAGAAAAUUAGAGUGUUCAAAGCAGGCAUUAGCUUGAAUAUAUUAGCAUGGAAUAAUAGAAUAGGACGUUAUGGUUCUAUUUUGUUGGUUUCUAGGACCAUCGUAAUGAUUAAUAGGGACGGUCGGGGGCAUCAGUAUUCAGUUGUCAGAGGUGAAAUUCUUGGAUUUACUGAAGACUAACUACUGCGAAAGCAUUUGCCAAGGACGUUUUCAUUAA